GGAACCGUAGCUCUAAUCGCGUAGAGCGCUUGCCUGAAGAGCAAGGCGUUGGAGGUUCGAGUCCUCCCGGUUCCACCA
rnacentral:tRNA from 1 species